CCCUUAGAUGUCCUGGGCUGCACGCGCGCUACACUGAUGUGUCCAGUAAGCACCUAACCUCUUCCGAAAGGAACGGGUAACCUUUGCAAAGCACAUCGUGAUGGGGAUAGAUUAUUGCAAUUAUUAGUCUUGAACGAGGAAUUCCUAGUAAGCACAAGUCAUCAGCUUGUGUUGAUUACGUCCCUGCCCUUUGUACACACCGCCCGUCGCUCCUACCGAUUGAAUGUUCCGGUGAGCUCUUCGGACUGCGCGGUCUGCAGUUUCUGCGUUCCGUGCGGGAAGUUGCGCAAACCUUAACAUUUAGAGGAAGGAGAAGUCGUAACA
rnacentral:rRNA from 1 species